rnacentral:rRNA from 1 species
AUAUUGGACAAUGGGCGAAAGCCUGAUCCAGCCAUGCCGCGCGUGUUAAGAAGGUCUUCGGAUUGUACAGCACUUUAUGUUGGGAGGAAGGGCAGUAAGUUAAUACCUUGCUGUUUUGACGUUACCGACAGAAUAAGCACCGGCUAACUCUGUGCCAGCAGCCGCGGUAAUACAGAGGGUGCAAGCGUUAAUCGGAAUUACUGGGCGUAAAGCGCGCGCAGGUGGUUAGUUAAGUUGGAUGUGAAAGCCCCGGGCUCAAACUGGGAACUGCAUCCAAAACUGGCGAGCUAGAGUAUGGUAGAGGGUGGUGGAAUUUCCUGUGUAGCGGUGAAAUGCGUAGAUAUAGGAAGGAACACCAGUGGCGAAGGCGACCACCUGGACUGAUACUGACACUGAGGUGCGAAAGCGUGGGGAGCAAAC